rnacentral:rRNA from 1 species
AACGCGAAGAACCUUACCUACUCUUGACAUCCAGAGAACUUUCCAGAGAUGGAUUGGUGCCUUCGGGAACUCUGAGACAGGUGCUGCAUGGCUGUCGUCAGCUCGUGUUGUGAAAUGUUGGGUUAAGUCCCGCAACGAGCGCAACCCUUAUCCUUUGUUGCCAGCGGUUCGGCCGGGAACUCAAAGGAGACUGCCAGUGAUAAACUGGAGGAAGGUAGGGAUGACGUCAAGUCAUCAUGGCCCUUACGAGUAGGGCUACACACGUGCUACAAUGGCGUAUACAAAGAGAAGCGACCUCGCGAGAGCAAGCGGACCUCAUAAAGUACGUCGUAGUCCGGAUUGGAGUCUGCAACUCGACUCCAUGAAGUCGGAAUCGCUAGUAAUCGUAGAUCAGAAUGCUACGGUGAAUACGUUCCCGGGCCUUGUACACACCG